rnacentral:misc_RNA from 1 species
AACCUUAUGGACCUGCGGGCGUAUACCUGCGGAGGGAUCAUUACACAAAAAAUAUGAAGGCUGCACGCCAGUUUUGGCGGAGGCUGAAUUAUUUUUCACCCAUGUCUUUUGCGCACUUGUUGUUUCCUGGGCGGGUUCGCCCGCCACCAGGACCACACCAUAAACCUUUUUUAUGCAGUUGCAAUCAGCGUCAGUAUAACAAAUGUAAAUCAUUUACAACUUUUAACAACGGAUCUCAGA